UACGGGAAGGCAGCAGUGGGGAAUAUUGCACAAUGGGCGAAAGCCUGAUGCAGCUAUGCCGCGUGUAUGAAGAAGGCCUUAGGGUUGUAAAGUACUUUCAUCGGGGAGGAAAAAACAAAACUAAUAAUUUUAUUUCUUGACGUUACCCGAAAAAGAAGCACCGGCUAACUCCGUGCCAGCAGCCGCGGUAAUACGGAGGGUGCUAGCGUUAAUCAGAAUUACUGGGCGUAAAGAGCACGUAGGUGGUUUUUUUAAGUCAGAUGUGAAAUCCCUGGGCUUAACCUAGGAACUGCAUUUUGAAACUGAAAUACUAGAGUAUCGUAGAGGGAGGUAGAAUUCUAGGUGUAGCGGUGAAAUGCGUAGAUAUCUGGAGGAAUACCUGUGGCGAAAGCGGCCUCCUAAACGAAUACUGACACUGAGGUGCGAAAGCGUGGGGAGCAAACAGGAUUAGAUACC
rnacentral:rRNA from 1 species